rnacentral:lncRNA from 1 species
UGUGUGUGUGUGUGUGUGCAUAUAUAUAUAUGAGAGAGAGAGAGAGAGAGAGAGAGACACCAUCUUGGUUUUUACUUGAGUACCUAAGACGAAAAACACAAUCCAGGAAUAGAGGACUGUCAUUUGCUUUUUUUAAAAAAUCAAAAGUUAAUGACAUUACUUUAUCAGUACGGAGUGUGUGCAAUUGACCUGUAGGCCCUUCUCUGUCUGGUAAUGAAAAUACAUGCCUUGGAAAUGUGUGUGCACGGACAAAGAGAAAACGGGGGGUGGGGAUAAUUGUCAUAAUGAUCGGGUAAUAAAGGUAGGCCCUGAUUUUUGUGACUACAGUAAUUGCUGCUUCUACUGUCAACACAGCUUAAGUAAAAUAGUGGUGAAACAUCCAUCAGAGAAGCCGAAAGGGAGACAGUAUUGUCUGUUGAAGAAAAACAGUGGUGUCUGCAAUGGCUACAUUACAGAUGCCACCGCUGAGGCAUCCAUGAAAAGAGGUCCACAUGCUUGCCUCUCCAAAGCAACUUGUGCGGAGCUUUAACAAGUCUAUGUUGAUUACAUUUAAAAAAUCUAAUACUAUUUAAGUACAUUUGACCUUGAACAACAUGGAAGUCAGGGUGCCAACCCCUGCGAAUUCAAAAAUCUGAGUUUAACUUUGACUCUCCAAAAACUUAACUACUAAUAGCCUACCUGUUGACUAGAAGUCUUACAAAUAACAUAAACAGUCCAUGAAUGCAGAUUUUGUAUGUGUCUUAUUAUAUAAUGUAUUCUUACAGAAAAAGGAAGCUAGAGAAAAGAAAAUGUUAUUAAGAAAAUUGUAAAGAAGAGGGGCUGGGCACAGUGGCUCAGACCUGUAGUCCCAGCAUUUUGGGAGGCUCAGGCGGGCAGAUCACUUGAGGUCAGGAGUUCGAGACCAGCCUGGCCAACAUGGUGAAACCCAGUCUCUACUAAAAAUACAAAAAUUAGCCGGGCAUGUUGGCGGGCGCCUAUAAUCCCAGCUACUCGGGAGGCUGAGGCAGGAGAAUUGCUUGAACCCAGGAGGUGGAGGUUGCAGUGAGCUGAGAUUGUGCCAUCCUGGGCAACAGAGCCAGACUGUCUCAAAAAAAAAAAAAAGAAGAGAAAAUAUAUUUGCUAUUGAUUAAGUGGAAGUGGGUCAUCAUAAAGGUCUUCAUUCUCUUUGUCUUUAAGUGAAGUAGGCUGAGGAGGAGGAGGAAGAGCAGGGGUUGGUCUCUUUGUCUUAGGGGUGGCAGAAGCAAGAGAAAAUCAAUGCAUGUACCUGUGCCAUUCAAACCUGUGUUGUUCAAAGGUCAACUGUACUUUUCUUUAAACCUGUGGUAAAUUACAGACUUUAUAAAGGGUCCUUUUGUAAUUGUGAAUAAUCACCUCUUAAUUGAUUUCUUUCUAAGGAAUAUAUCAUUCCAUGUAGAAUGUUCUUAAAGCUAGUUAUACCUGUUCUCAGUAACAGAUACAAAUGGUCAUUGCAGUAAGAGAUGAUUAUAAUGAAGAGUUAACAUGAAAAAAUAAAAUAUUCCUUUCUAUUAGUUUGGAAAUGACAUUGGGCAGGGAAGGACCAAUAUAAAAUCUCAAAGCUGUGCAUUGUUCUGUACAUGUCACCUCCAAAUGGCUCCGUAGUCUGAAACUCAGAAUGCCUGUCUUUCUCCUUGAGCUCAGUCUGUCACUGUGUAGCUCAAGAAUUCUCUGAGUUAAUGUGUGGUUGAGAAUGGAAUUUACCAUAGUCAUUUUCCCUCCCGACAUAUCUAUUACAAAAAAAAAAAAAAAACUAUCUACAGUGAUUUACAAACUUUGUUUUCUUUCAGGACAACACAGCAAGCUACCAUCUCAUGUGCUCCAAGAAGAAUUGACUCUUCCCCCUACUUCCCCCGUUUCAAGGAGGUGGGGAGGGGGGCAGAGGCACAGAAUCCUGGCCUUGGUGAUAGGAUGUGGUGUGAUGCUGUUCUUCUGUAUGUACUGUCCCAUGGGGUGCCUGAGGAUACGGUGCUGGCUGUGGUCCAGGUAAAUUGGAGACAAUCCUAGAAGUAAAAACAUCCAUCAUGCUUAGUAGGAUCUUAGGUUGUAACGGCUGCCUUGAGCCUUCAGACAUUUUUUUUAUAAAGCUCCCGGUCAUAAAGCACUCUUUCCGCCUCUGCUGCCAUAUGUUUUUCCAGCUGGACUUUCACCAGUCUUCCACUCUCCAGAAAGUUCUUACUCAUUCAGCCCAAGGGUAUCUCAUCAGUUUUUCUGAGGACUGCUGGAAGUUUCAGCAGGCGUCCUGGCCACACGGAAAAUCUAGCUAGCUAAGCUUGUGGAUGAAGGUCUCCAGUUAUGAGUCUGUGCCCUGAGAUGCUGUUGCCUGCCUUAUUCAAAUUAAAUUUAGAGAAAUUUAAAUAAACAUAUAUAAAUGCAUGAAACUGUAUAAGAAAAAAGUCCUUAUUAGUAUGCAUUUUCUGGGACUCAGACAUCCUCACCAAAUCCAACAGCAAGGAAACUGAAUAACUUUUUGUCUUUUAAGAAUAGUUUUUGUCCGAAGAUUGGAAUCUACCCACUUUUUUAGCCUGAUCAGCCAGUGACCUCUGAACCUUGCUUUUCAUUGUUCAUCUUCUAUUCACCUGGGGCACUGAGGAUGUUUUUGCUUUUCCAGAUGCUGUUUUUACAAUUGGUUGACACAAUGGCUAGAGUCAUGACUCUUGGGUAUGCUUCGUAGUUAUUUGCCUAUGGGACAAGGUUCACUCUUCCAAACUUUUUUUUUUUUUUUUUUUUUUUUUUUAGAGACUGGGUCUCGCUUUGUUCCCCAGGCUGGAGUGCAGUGGCGUGAUCAUGGUUCAUGGAUCACUGUAGCAUCAACCUCCUGGGCUCAAGCAAUCCACCUGCCUCAGCCUGCUUAGUAGCUGGGACUACAGGUAUGCACUACCACCACACCUGGCUAAUUUUUAAUUUUUUGGUAGAGACCCCAGCCUCCCAAAGUCCUGGGAUUGCAGGUGUAAGCCACUCUACCUGGCCUUGAUUUUUGUAUUUUUUUUGUAGAGAUGGGGGUCUUGCUAUGUUGCCCAGGCCAGUCUCAAACUCCUGGCCUCCAGUGAUCCUCCCGCCUCAGCCUCCCAGAGUGCUGGGAUUAUAUUACUACUGCACCCAGCCACUCUUCCAAAUUCUAACCAAGCAGUUUGUUCUUUGUGAUCCAGGCUUAGUUGCUGCCCUGUUGGCCAUUUUUCCUUUGGGUGAAUUUAGGAUUCAGUUCCUCAUCCUCAAAAGCCCUAACUGAAAAGGAACUGAUGACACAUUCUCCAUGGUAAACCCUUCUUGGGAAACUCUCACGAGGACUUGGGCACUGUGUAUCCAGCUCCUAUUUUAGUGAUAGAUUUAUAUUUGAUUUACAAUAGAAAUUGAGCCCACAUCCAGAUUUUAAUAGUGCCACCCAUUCCUUACUGGUGAGACCAUUCUCUUCCUACGGUCCACCCCACCAGCUGACUGCCUCUCCUCCCCACUACAGUUUCCCAGCUGUCUCCUGCCACCCUGCUUCCAUUUGCUGUUGUGUAUGCUCCAAUUUUUUACCUUCACACGACGAAAACUUCAGGGGCAAAAAUUAUACCUAUGAUAAUGUAAAGAGAUCUUAGAACAACUGAGACUGGCAGUAAAAAAUUCAAAAUUUUGACAUUCCUAGUUUGGGGAGACGAGUUAGAUUCAGGGAUAGCUAUGAAAUUGUGCUGUCUGAAUUUGUAAAGUAUUUUUCAAAGCAGAUUAACAGGACACAGUAUUAUGAGGAAAUCACACUGAUUUUCACUUUCUUUCUCGCUUGUUGGUUUCCCUAAAUGCUUAAAUAAGAAUAUAAUUACAAUAUUUCUAAACGAUUGUGCAACUGCUCUGAAGCUUGACUAUUUACCUCCCACCACUCAGAAGAAUACAAGCGGUAUAUAUCUGUUAGGUUACCCAUUAAACGACUGUGACAGAUCGUAUUUCUGGUUAAUUGUUAGUUCCUUAUGACCUUAGACUUUGCCUGUGUAUUUAAUAACACCAUCUGCUGUCUAGGGUAGCAAUACCACCUUUUUACAUGAGGAUUACUGUUCUUACUUCGUAAACAAAAGUGCUCAAUCUGAGGUGUUGAAACUGUACCACAGAAUUAUUUAAAUUAUACUACCUAUGGAAAGCUUAAAGAAGAAAAAAUUAACUUUCUUCUCUAUGGUGGCUUUAUUAGCUUCAAGUAAAAUAUCAGAAUUUAUACACCAUAAGAAAAGUAUUUUUAAAAGAUUUACAAGUUUUAUUAUUGGUCUGCAAAAUGAAAUGUUUUAAAAGAACGUUGUCUCUGUUAUACUUGUUUUGUUUAUCUUCUUCUAGCCGAGUUUCUCAUUGUAUAUGAUCUCUGAGCAAUUUCUCAAUAAAACAGACAAUUUUAAAAAAUUCUCACAAAAUUAAAUCGAGAUGAGACUUAAAAUAAAAU